rnacentral:lncRNA from 1 species
UAAGCUGUCUUUCAGGGUUAUCUCCAAAAGAUGAAUCUACCCUCCUGCAACGUUAGUAAUAGGAGUGCAGAAAAUUUCGAGUGUCUAUAAUACUUUCUUAUACGGUCCACAUGUCGAGUGGUGCUGAUGAGUGGGAUUUAUACCCGCGAAUCGGAUACUUUAUGACUUAACUACUUGCCUGAAUUCAUAGUUUUUAUGUAGUUUCAUAUAAAUAUAGUGUUAU